rnacentral:ncRNA from 2 species
UAGACUGUCUGCCCGUUGGGUCGCAUCACAGAUGUGUGGGAAUCCGGUGGGAAACCGGGACUGUCGCGCAGCGGUGAGGCCGACGCAGCAGGCAUCAGGUCACUGGGGCGGAUCCCCGGGAAGGCGCCUGCCGCGGAUGACGCCGAGUCCGAAGACCAAGCCCAACGCUCUUGUCACGG